GGUGUGUACUGGUCUUGAUGGAAGCUUACCUCUUGGUGGGUCGGCAUGCCCUUCGUUGGGUGUGUCGAUUAACCAGGACUUUUACUUUGAGAAAAUUAGAGUGUUCAAAGCAGGCUUUCGCCCGAAUACAUUAGCAUGGAAUAAUAGAAUAGGACGCGCGUCUUUAUUUUGUUGGUUUCUAAAUUCGCCGUAAUGAUUAAUAGGGAUAGUCGGGGGCAUUCGUAUUGCUUGGUCAGAGGUGAAAUUCUUGGAUUCUAGCAAGACGAACUACUGCGAAAGCAUUUGCCAAGGAUGUUUUCAUUGAUCAAGAACGAAGGUUAGGGGAUCGAAAACGAUCAGAUACCGUUGUAGUCUUAACAGUAAACUAUGCCGACUAGGGAUCGGACAAGCACGAUCUAUGACUUGUUCGGCACCUGAAGAGAAAUCUUUAAGUCUAGGUUCGGGGGGGAGUAUGGUCGCAAGGCUGAAACUUAAAGGAAUUGACGGAAGGGCACCACCAGGUGUGGAGCCUGCGGCUUAAUUUGACUCAACACGGGGAAACUCACCAGGUCCAGACACAAUAAGGAUUGACAGAUUGAUAGCUCUUUCUUGAUCUUGUGGUUGGUGGUGCAUGGCCGUUCUUAGUUGGUGGAGUGAUUUGUCUGGUUAAUUCCGGUAACGAACGAGACCUUAACCUGCUAAAUAGACCCGGGGCCUUAGGGAACCGGCUGUCUUCUUAGAGGGACUGUAGG
rnacentral:rRNA from 1 species